AUGUUCUCUACAUCUCUACUGCUCCUGCUGGCAGCUGCUUCCCAUGUUCACAGUGAGGAACUGACUCAGCCUGCUGCCAUGACAGUCCAGCCAGGCCAGAGUCUCUCCAUCACCUGCAAGGUUUCAUAUUCAGUUACAAGCUAUCUUACAGGUUGGAUUCGACAACCAGCAGGAAAAGCUCUGGAGUGGAUUGGAAGCAUCUAUAGUGGUGGAAGUUAUUACAAUGACAAACUGAAAAAUAAGUUCAGCAUGUCAGUAGACACUUCUACUAACACAGAAACAGCCAUCCGGGUGGCCCUCUCGCUGGAGGGCGACGCGCUCUGGGCGUUGGAAGACCUCCGGCCUGAUGAGCGGAAGGACUAG